CCUACGGGAGGCAGCAGUGAGGAAUAUUGGUCAAUGGACGAGAGUCUGAACCAGCCAAGUAGCGUGAAGGAUGACUGCCCUAUGGGUUUUAAACUUCUUUUAUAUGGGAAUAAAAUGUUCCACGUGUGGGAUUUUGUAUGUACCAUAUGCAUAAGGAUCGACUAACUCCGCGCCAGCAGCCGCGGUAAUACGGAGGAUCCGAGCGUUAUCCGGAUUUAUUGGGUUUAACGGGAGCGUAGGUGGAUUGUUAAGUCAGUUGUGAAAGUUUGGGGCUCAACCGUAAAAUUGCAGUUGAUACUGGCAGGCUUGAGUACAGUAGAGGUGGGCAGAAUUCGUGGUGUAGCGGUGAAAUGCUUAGAGAUCAGGAAGAACUCCGAUGGCGAAGGCAGUUCACUGGACGGCAACUGACACUGAGGCGCGAAAGUGUGGGGAUCAAACAGGAUUAGAUACCCGGGUAGUC
rnacentral:rRNA from 1 species